AGUGGAUGGGGAGCAACCUAGUUGUGCGUGUGUAAAGGUAGUGCCAAGAAAAGCGAUGAUCAUGUUGAAAAUCAAUUCCCGGUACCCGAAACCGACACAGGUGGGCAAGUAGAGAAUACUAAGGGGCGCGAGGUAACUCUCUCCAAGGAACUCGGCAAAAUGACCCCGUAACUUAGGGAGAAGGGGUGCCACCGAGAGGUGGUCGCAGUGAAGAGGCCCAGGCGACUGUUUAGCAAAAACAUAGGUCUCUGCAAACUCGAAAGAGGAGGUAUAGGGGCUGACGCCUGCCCAGUGCCGGAAGGUUAAAGAAGUUGGUCAGUUUUAGGAUGAAGCUAGCGACUGAAGCCCCGGUGAACGGUGGCCGUAACUAUAACGGUCCUAAGGUAGCGAAAUUCCUUGUCGGGUAAGUUCCGACCCGCACGAAAGGCGUAACGAUCUGGGCGCUGUCUCGGAGAGAGGCUCGGCGAAAUAGGAUUGUCUGUGAAGAUACGGACUACCUGCAUUUGGACAGAAAGACCCUAUGAAGCUUUACUAUAGCUUGGAAUUGUGUUCGGGCUUCCUGUGCGCAGGAUAGGUGGGAGGCGUAGAAGGUAUUCUUGUGGGGAUACUGGAGCCAACGGUGAGAUACCACUCUCAGGAGGCUAGAAUUCUAACUUAAUUAAGGACAGUUUCAGGUGGGUAGUUUGACUGGGGCGGUCGCCUCCAAAAAGGUAACGGAGGCGUACAAAGGUUCCCUCAGACUGGUUGGAAAUCAGUCGAAGAGUGCAAAGGCAGAAGGGAGCUUGACUGCGAGAAGUACAGUUCGAGCAGGGUGGAAACACGGUCUUAGUGAUCCGACGGUGCUGUGUGGAAGGGCCGUCGCUCAACGGAUAAAAGUUACUCUAGGAUAACAGGCUGAUCUCCCCCAAGAGUUCACAUCGACGGGGAGGUUUGGCACCUCGAUGUCGGCUCAUCGCAACCUGGGGCGGAAGUACGUCCCAAGGGUUGGGCUGUUCGCCCAUUAAAGCGGUACGUGAGCUGGGUUCAGAACGUCGUGAGACAGUUCGGUCCAUAUCCGAUGUAGGCGUGAGAAUAUUGAGAGGAGCCUUCCUUAGUACGAGAGGACCGGGAAGGACGCACCGCUGGUGUACCUGUUAUGAUGCCAAUUGUAAACGCAGGGUAGCCAAGUGCGGAGAGGAUAACCGCUGAAAGCAUCUAAGUGGGAAGCCCACCUCAAGAUGAGUAUUCUGGUGUAAGGUCACGGGAAGACGACCCGUAAAUAGGCACGAGGUGGAAGUGCAGAGAUGUAUGAAGCCGAAGUGUACUAAUAGACCGUCGGCUUGAC
rnacentral:rRNA from 1 species